rnacentral:misc_RNA from 1 species
UCAAAAUAUGCACAAAUAUACCAAUUUUUAUUAAAAUAGAAUCAUUCUCACAGAAACUACUUGUUUGGUUGAUGAAAAAAUUUACUUUAGAACCAAUGUUCAUAAAUUCUUUACUAAUUUAUGCUUUUUGUGUAGGAGUACUGCACACUUUUGCAGAAACUUAUUACACUUUUUCAAUAAUCAAUCCUAUUCCUAAGAAUUUAGUGGCUAUAGUGAAUGGUUAUGUGACUAUUUGUGUUGGUGUAAUAAUAAGUGAAAAACAUGUUCUAGUUAGAAAGGAAUGUUUGACUGAUUGGAAUUCAAAGUCAACGAAAUUGAAAAUUGGAGCUGGAAAUACUGUACGAGGAUAUGAUUGGUAUCAACAGUUUGUAAAUAUAUCUCAAAUAAAUGAUUUCACAUAUGAUCUAUCAAUAGUAUUGCUCAAUCAUACAAUCAAAUUGAAUGAGCAAGUUCAAGUAGCUCAAUUGCCCACUCAAGAUGUGCAUACAAAAAAGAAUGCUAUUGUUUCGGGAUGGACUGGUAAAUGUUCAAAUGAUUUCAAGUUUUUCGUUAAUCGAAAGUUGAUGGUGGUACACUAUUACCCAAAGGAGUGUGGAGAAAAAAAAGAUGAUGAAUUUUGUGGAAGAACAAAGUAUCCUAAGAAGUCACAUAGUACUAAAGAUGAUGGAAUUGAUCGAGUAUACAAAAUAUCAGAAGGAGCACCAAUGAUUGAUUCAAAUGGAGUUUUAAUUGGUUACACUCGAUUUGGAUGUAAAGAAGGUGGUCCAGUUGUCAAUAUAUAUCGUCAUGUGAUAUAGAAUUCAAUACAUGGAUAAAAAACUUUGGUAAUACAAUUAUCGUAGAUUAAUCUAGUUUAAACAUUGAUUGAUAACUAUAUAACAUCUUUAGACUUUUUCAGCAUAUCCAGCUUCCCAUGGUAAACAUGGUGAACUGCCGGAAGACCUAGUCUUGUACAAUGAUGAGCCAUCAACAUAUACUCUUAAACAAUCGAAUUAAGAAUGGACAGUAUAUGAAACGAUGCC